GUUGGAUGCACCCCUUUGCAUCGUGCAGCAAGCACAGGGAACUCAGAGUUGUGUGAACUUUUAAUUGAGGAAGGAGCUGAGGUUGAUGCUAUUGAUAAAGCAGGUCAAACUCCCCUAAUGAGUGCAGUAAUAUGCGAAAACAAAGAGUGCUUUAAAAAUUUAUGAAACUACCCAAAGGAGGAGGACCAAUCCAGUUUGGAAAGUAGUUCAGUCUCUGCAACAACCUACAAACGUGGAAUGUGGGUUUUUUGUCUUUUAUCAGAAAUUUAUUGGAGAAAUGCAAAAUAUGGUCAAAGAAUUCAACAACUUGGUUU